GUCUAACGCUUCGCUUUGAUAUUGGCUCAAUAUUCUAGAUUGUUUUGUUCGCGCACAGGGCUGUAAUAACGUGACCGUGCUAACUGGUGACACACCGUAUGCCUCGUGCUUCGUAUCACGCUCACACAACACGAUUAGCGCUUCCUUGAUUCCGCUUUACUCUUCACCAUUUUAAGGGAUAUUUCACGCUCACGCUGUCUACUCACGCAGAAGGAAAUGACAUCAUAUGUAACAUCAUUGGCGCUCAUGCAUAGUUAUUUUGAUAACAUUACGGACACCUCAAGCAAACGAUUCUUAAAUCGGAGAAGAGAUUGGUAAUCGGCAUGAAGACCACCGGGAGCCAAGCUUCUAUAGCUAUUGAUUUUUCCAUACCCUUUUUUUUAAAGCAGAUAAAGAAUCGCAAAUUCUUCUUCUUUA